rnacentral:lncRNA from 10 species
CACCGCAGCUCAAUCCUUGCCAGUCUGAUGGAAACAAGCCUACAGUAGGAAUCCGCUCCUCCUGCGACCGCCACCUGCUGGCUGCCUCCCAGAACCGCAUCGUGGAUGGAGCCGUGUUUGCUGUUCUCAAGGCUGUGUUUGUACUUGGGGAUGCGGAACUGAAAGGUUCAGGCUUCACUGUGACAGGAGGAACAGAAGAACUUCCAGAGGAGGAGGGAGGAGGUGGCAGUGGUGGUCGGAGGCAGGGUGGCCGCAACAUCUCUGUGGAGACAGCCAGUCUGGAUGUCUAUGCCAAGUACGUGCUGCGCAGCAUCUGCCAACAGGUCAGUU